UAACACAUGCAAGUCGAGCGAGAAACUUCGGGUUUCUAGCGGCGGACGGGUGAGUAACACGUGGGUAACCUACCUCAAAGAGGGGAAUAGCCUCCCGAAAGGGAGAUUAAUACCGCAUAAUAUCAUAGCUUCGCAUGAAGCAAUGAUUAAAGGAGUAAUCCGCUUUGAGAUGGACCCGCGGCGCAUUAGCUAGUUGGAGAGGUAACGGCUCACCAAGGCAACGAUGCGUAGCCGACCUGAGAGGGUGAUCGGCCACAUUGGAACUGAGACACGGUCCAGACUCCUACGGGAGGCAGCAGUGGGGAAUAUUGCACAAUGGGCGAAAGCCUGAUGCAGCAACGCCGCGUGAGUGAUGACGGUCUUCGGAUUGUAAAACUCUGUCUUUUGGGACGAUAAUGACGGUACCAAAGGAGGAAGCCACGGCUAACUACGUGCCAGCAGCCGCGGUAAUACGUAGGUGGCAAGCGUUGUCCGGAUUUACUGGGCGUAAAGGAUGUGUAGGCGGAUAUUUAAGUGAGAUGUGAAAGCCCCGAGCUUAACUUGGGGACUGCAUUUCAAACUGGAUGUCUAGAGUGCAGGAGAGGAAAGCGGAAUUCCUAGUGUAGCGGCGAAAUGCGUAGAGAUUAGGAAGAACAUCAGUGGCGAAGGCGGCUUUCUGGACUGUAACUGACGCUGAGGCAUGAAAGCGUGGGGAGCAAACAGGAUUAGAUACCCUGG
rnacentral:rRNA from 1 species